UGCAUUAUUUGACGUUACCUACAGAAGAAGCACCGGCUAACUCCGUGCCAGCAGCCGCGGUAAUACGGAGGGUGCGAGCGUUAAUCGGAAUUACUGGGCGUAAAGCGCAUGCAGGCGGCCUGUUAAGUCAGAUGUGAAAGACCCGGGGCGUUAACCUCGGAAUUGCAUUUGAAACUAGGCAGGCUAGAGUCUUGUAGAGGGGGUAGGAAGUUUCUAGGUGUAGCGGUGAAAUAGCGUAGAGAUCUGAAGGAAUACCAGUGGCGAAGGCGGCCCCCUCGGACAAAGACUGACGCUCAGAUGCGAAAGCGUGGGGAGCAAACAGGAUUAGAUACCCUGGUAG
rnacentral:rRNA from 1 species